UACGGGGGGUGCUAGCGUUAUUCGGAUUUACUGGGCGUAAAGGGCGCGCAGGCGGUCUUUUAAGUCAGAUGUGAAAGCCCGGGGCUCAACCCCGGAAGUGCAUUUGAAACUAAAAGACUUGAGUAUGGGAGAGGGAAGUGGAAUUCCUGGUGUAGCGGUGAAAUGCGUAGAUAUCAGGAGGAACACCGGUGGCGAAGGCGACUUCCUGGACCAAUACUGACGCUGAGGCGCGAAGGCGUGGGGAGCAAACAGG
rnacentral:rRNA from 1 species